rnacentral:rRNA from 1 species
GACAGAGGAUGCAAGCGUUAUCCGGAAUGAUUGGGCGUAAAGCGUCUGUAGGUGGCUUUCAAGUCCGCCGUCAAAUCCCAGGGCUCAACCCUGGACAGGCGGUGGAAACUACCAAGCUGGAGUACGGUGGGGGCAGAGGGAAUUUCCGGUGGAGCGGUGAAAUGACAUUGAGAUCGGAAAGAACACCAACGGCGAAAGCAUCUGCGG